CUGUAAUGCCCUCCUUGGGUGUUUCCUCCCUAGACUAGCCGCGCUUCGGCGCGGUUUUUUUUGCCUGAG
rfam:Rhizobium sp. R1-200B2 contig_9, whole genome shotgun sequence.